rnacentral:rRNA from 1 species
AUGGAUAUCUGGAGGGCACGCAUCCCUACAAAAAUAAAGAUUUUUCUAUGGCAGAUGGUUCAUGAUAGGCUGCCUACUUGUGUCCAAGUUCAGAAGCGACACGGCCCAGGGGACGGGCGGUGUCCCCUAUGCUGUGUGACCGAAGAUACCAACCACAUCUUCUUCAAGUGCAGCCUUGCACAGCUCCUAUGGGGUUCCAUUCGCGAUACCGCAGAUUGCAAUUGGGCGCCCAAUUCAUUUGGAGCUUUCCAUACCUUAGUUGCACGGCUUUCUAGACGUCCCCGUAGAAUUACUUGGUUUGUCUUUGCGGCAAUGGCUUGGGCCUUAUGGCAUGCCCGGAACAAAGCUGUAAUUGAAGGAAAAUUCAUUAAGCAUCCUGCUGAUAUCGACUAUAAAAUGAUCAUUUUUAUGCAGCUAUGGAAACCACUGAGCAAGAUGGAGGAUGCUUCCACCAUUGCGGUACUACUGGAGAAGCUCUGA